AUUGAACGCUGGCGGCAGGCCUAACACAUGCAAGUCGAACGAGUGGCGGACGGGUGAGUUAUGUCUGGGAAUCUGCCUGAUGGAGGGGGAUAACUACUGGAAACGGUAGCUAAUACCGCAUACCAUCAGAUGUGCCCAGGUGGGAUUAGCUUGUAGGUGGGGUAACGGCUCACCAAGGCGACGAUCCCUAGCUGGUCUGUGAGGAUGAGCGGCCACACUGUAACUGAGACACGGUCCAGAUUCCUACGGGAGGAAGAAGUGGGGAAUAUUGAACAAUGGGCGCAAGCCUGAGGCAGCCAUGCCGCGUGUAGGAAGAAGGCUCUGGGGUUGUAAAGUACUUUCAGCGGGGAGGCGUUACCCUCAGAAGAAGCACCGGCUAACUCCGUGCCAGCAGCCGCGGUAAUAC
rnacentral:rRNA from 1 species